GUGUUUAUUGUACCUUGUUGCUUCGGUGCGCCCGCCUCACGGCCGCCGGGGGGCUUCUGCCCCCGGGUCCGCGCGCACCGGAGACACCAUUGAACUCUGUCUGAAGAUUGCAGUCUGAGCAUAAACUAAAUAAGUUAAAACUUUCAACAACGGAUCUCUUGGUUCCGGCAUCGAUGAAGAACGCAGCGAAAUGCGAUAACUAAUGUGAAUUGCAGAAUUCAGUGAAUCAUCGAGUCUUUGAACGCACAUUGCGCCCCCUGGUAUUCCGGGGGGCAUGCCUGUCCGAGCGUCAUUGCUGCCCUCAAGCACGGCUUGUGUGUUGGGCUCCGUCCCCCCGGGGACGGGUCCGAAAGGCAGCGGCGGCACCGAGUCCGGUCCUCGAGCGUAUGGGGCUUUGUCACCCGCUCUGUAGGCCCGGCCGGCGCCAGCCGACAACCAAUCAUCCUUUUUUCAGGUUGACCUCGGAUCAGGUAGGGAUACCCGCUGAACUUAAGCAUAUCAAUAAGCGGAGGAA
rnacentral:rRNA from 1 species